UACGUAGGGGGCAAGCGUUGUCCGGAUUUAUUGGGCGUAAAGAGCGCGCAGGCGGCUUGGUAAGUCGGAUGUGAAAACCCGAGGCUCAACCUCGGGCGUGCAUCCGAAACUGCUCGGCUAGAGGUAGGUAGGGGAGAUCGGAAUUCCUGGUGUAGCGGUGAAAUGCGCAGAUAUCAGGAGGAACACCGGUGGCGAAGGCGGAUCUCUGGGCCAUAACUGACGCUGAGGAGCGAAAGCGUGGGGAGCGAACAGG
rnacentral:rRNA from 1 species